ACGCUCGACACCUACGGGAGCAGCAGUGAGGAAUAUUGGUCAAUGGGCGCUAGCCUGAACCAGCCAAGUAGCGUGAAGGAUGAAGGCUCUAUGGGUCGUAAACUUCUUUUAUAUAAGAAUAAAGUGCAGUAUGUAUACUGUUUUGUAUGUAUUAUAUGAAUAAGGAUCGGCUAACUCCGUGCCAGUAGCCGCGGUAAUCUGAGCGGGCUGGCAAGGC
rnacentral:rRNA from 1 species